rnacentral:siRNA from 1 species
GUCGGCCAGAUAAAUUGGCGU